UUUUUCGAUUUAAGCAGAUAUUUUAAUUCAGGAGUCCCAUCCAUUAACAGAAUAUUUUUUCCCUUUUCUCAUCAGAUAAUUUGUGUGAGCCUGUAUAGUCAUGGAUGGAGGAGGUGAGGAGGUGAUCUUGCCACCUUCAUUACAUCCACUCUUCCAAAACUAAGUGAACUUGAGUCUUUGAGGUUCUUCAGGAAUCAGGAGUCCAUGACCUGGAGGACUUGAGCUACAUACAAGAGAGUGACCUUCUUCAUGUCCUAAAGCCUGUGGAAGUGAGGAAACAGCUUUCCCGUUUCAGAACGACAAGCCAAAGAGAUGUGUUGGGCAGUCCUCCAAGCAACCACCAGUCCUCAAAUACAGCCCGUGACAGUCUUCCAACCCAGCCAGAUGAGACUUUCUCUUCGGGAAGUUCUACUUUGGCAGCAGCGCACUUCAUGUUAUAUGUGGACCAGACCAUUGUGAGCAGCCAAAUCACUGGCUUCAGUGAUGCUGUUUACUUCCUACUACUGCCUGAACAUCUCUUACCCCAGCAGCCCAAGGAGCAACAUUGGAGUUCUUGCAAAAGGUAAGAAAGCAUUAGUCAAUUUUACACAUCAAAACCCAUAUAAAAUGACCAGAAAAAUAAUAACCCAUCCAUAAUUAUCACACUUAAAGGGAUAUUCCGGUGUAAAUUUAAUCCAUGGUCUAACUUUUUGGUGUUUCUGGUUUUGAUGGGUUAUGGUAUUCAGCUUUGAUUAAAAUAAAGCUUGCUCUUAUUUCCCCCUAAUCCUUC
rnacentral:lncRNA from 1 species